rnacentral:rRNA from 1 species
GACGAACGCUGGCGGCGUGCUUAACACAUGCAAGUCGAACGGUAAAGGAAUGCUUUCCUCUGGUGCUCGAGUGGCGAACGGGUGAGUAACACGUGAGUAACCUGCCCUAGACUUUGGGAUAACUGCAGGAAACGGGGUCUAAUACCGGAUAGGAGCCAGAGCUGCAUGGUGACGGUCGGAAAGUUUUUGCGGUUUGGGGUGGACUCGCGGCUUAUCAGCUUGUUGGUGGGGUAGCGGCUCACCAAGGCAACGACGGGUAGCCGGCCUGAGAGGGUGACCGGCCACACUGGGACUGAGACACGGCCCAGACUCCUACGGGAGGCAGCAGUGGGGAAUAUUGCACAAUGGGCGAAAGCCUGAUGCAGCGACGCCGCGUGAGGGAUGACGGCCUUCGGGUUGUAAACCUCUUUCAGCAGGGAAGAAGCGAAAGUGACGGUACCUGCAGAAGAAGCACCGGCUAACUACGUG